GACGAACCGUGCGAACGUUGUUCGGAAUCACUGGGCUUAAAGGGCGCGUAGGCGGACCACCAAGUCCGGGGUGAAAUCCUCCGGCUUAACCGGAGAACGGCCUGGGAGACUGGGGGUCUGGAGGCGGGUAGGGGCGUGCGGAACUCUGGGUGGAGCGGUGAAAUGCGUUGAUAUCCAGAGGAACUCCGGUGGCGAAGGCGGCACGCUGGACCUGAUCUGACGUUGAGGCGCGAAAGCCAGGGGAGCGAACGGG
rnacentral:rRNA from 1 species